CUACAAUGCAGAACAAACUCGCUCAAAGUUUGAAACACGGGCUAUAGAUUUUUGGAAGGAACCUGUAAAAACUAUUUCGACUACGAUUUUAUGACGGUCUCCUUAUUGAAAUUAGUCUUUCUGUACUAUUUGAAGGUAAGAUAGGAUAACGGGCUUUGCCAAAACAAACACUCGACAGGGAACAUAAUGGUCAAACUGGAUAUUUUAUUAGCAAUUUAAUGGACAUCCUUCCUGAUAAAAAACCCACGUAGGAUUUUACACUUACACAAAAAAAUACUCCUCAAUAUUUACAUUUCAUCAGAUUGUAUUAAUUUUGACAUCGUUGAAGAUAUGCCACAAGUGUUAACAUUAUCAAUAUCAUAAUGAAGCAGAGCACACUUUUUUAUAUAUUAAAAUCAUCCUCACUGCUCGACUUGGACAAAAUGUACACUACCAGUAAAAAUUUUAAUACACAAGUCCAACGUUUCACUGGUACUGUUAGUGUCAGAUGGUAAUUCCGGGUGCCAGAGGAGUCACAAUACAUUCGGGGCUUAGCCCCCGCCCCCCGCCCGCACGGGACAGAAAGUACAUGAUUUUGAAUGUACAUGCUGAAAAUUCCGAUGUACACGCUAGCGGCCUACACGUCUACAUGUCAUAAUGCGCGAUUGGACUAACAGAUUAAUAGAUCGGGGGUGUUUUUUUAUAAUACUUUUUUUGGUCAAUUUGAGAACCGGGGCAAUAGCCCCGGACGGACGCCACUGCCGGGUGCUGUUACUUUUUUCAAGUGCAGGUGCUCUACAACACUUAUUUGUUGCAGGUGCUCUACAACAGCUCAAGCCGUUAUUUUGUCAGUACCCUGCUUUGGUGAGAUCUAUCCAGGUCCAACACUGAGCCUGAACUGAAUGAACAGCCUCAUAACCAUGUUUGACUAUUUCAAGUAAGGUUGUCUGACUUCCAUUCAGUAUAGACCUGGAAGACUUACUUCAACUUUCAGUAAGAGUUAAUUAAGAGCAUGUUGUCUAUGAUGGCUUGGGUUGAGCCAGGUUGACACUAUAUUAGGAGGCUGUCCCUUAUAAGCUCAUCAAGCAUGCAGGUGAAUUUGAAAGCAUAAUAACAAUUAGAAACUUGGAAUGAAAAUGUGUUUUGCAGGGUAAAUGCUUACAAAACCUUAACUUUUCCUAGACACAAGAGAGACCGGAUGUAUGUAUCACCAGAGGAGUGAAAAUCGUUCCAGGGUGGGCCCCUACCUCCCCAAGGACACCCAUCUACACCACAACACCCUGUGGAUUGCAGCCCUGGAGGAUGGAGCAAGCAUAGUACUCCAAGGCACCAGAGAGGUACUCCACGCCACCAUGUAGAGGAUGGCUACAUAGAGCAUUUGGAGAAGAUCAAGUGGCUGACUGAAGAGAAGGUCAAGUUGAGGGCACAGCUGGCUCUAUAAUCAGGAGCCAUAGGGAAGAAUAUUUCCAACCGGGAUGCCACUGAUGAGGCUGUCCAGAACCAGGUCCCCAGGUACCAGAAAGGGCCAGAUGAUCGUGCAGGUGGGAGAAGAUGUCGCAAUAAGAAUUCUUAUUGCCGUGAAUAUAAAUGAUAUCUCCAGCACAACCAAUAUUGCUGCUAAGCUGCAGUACUAUAUUUCUUUUCUUUUUUUUUUACUGCUGCUAUGUACAGUGUUAUAUAUAUGAUUGCAUUAUCCUCUUAAUAUAUUUAAAGCUGUGUGUGAAUGUUCUUAAUUCUGACUAGUUAUCGAGUGCUGUGCCACCAUUCAUAAGCUUAUUGCACUGAUGUAUCUAUGAUAUUCAAUAACUAUCGAUUGCUGGUAGGUCAUACUUAUGUAUAUUACUGCCAUUCUAGCCCUUGUUUAUUUUGUAUUGUAUUAUGUUUAUUUUGUACUUUCACAUUUAAAUACUGUAAUUUUACUAUCUGUUGCUGGACCCAUUUUCUUGCACUAUGUGAUUUAGUACAUUUUUUAUUUCAAUUCAUUUGCACAUGUUUAUUUUGUAUGCUU
ensembl:lncRNA